GACGAACGCUGGCGGCGUGCCUAAUACAUGCAAGUCGAGCGGACCGAACAGGAGCUUGCUCUUGUUCGGUUAGCGGCGGACGGGUGAGUAACACGUGGGUAACCUGCCCGUAAGACCGGGAUAACUCCGGGAAACCGGAGCUAAUACCGGAUAACACCGAAGACCGCAUGGUCUUUGGUUGAAAGGCGGCUUCGGCUGCCACUUACGGAUGGGCCCGCGGCGCAUUAGCUAGUUGGUGAGGUAACGGCUCACCAAGGCGACGAUGCGUAGCCGGCCUGAGAGGGUGACCGGCCACACUGGGACUGAGACACGGCCCAGACUCCUACGGGAGGCAGCAGUAGGGAAUCUUCCGCAAUGGACGAAAGUCUGACGGAGCGACGCCGCGGGAGCGAAGAAGGGCUUCGGAUCGUAAAGCUCUGUUGUUAGGGAAGAAGAAGCGUCGUUCGAACAGGGCGGCGCGGUGACGGUACCUAACGAGAAAGCCCCGGCUAACUACGUG
rnacentral:rRNA from 1 species